CCUACGAGUGGCAGCAGUGAGGAAUAUUGGUCAAUGGACGAGAGUCUGAACCAGCCAAGUAGCGUGAAGGAUGACUGCCCUAUGGAUUGUAAACUUCUUUUAUAAAGGAAUAAAACGAGGCACGUGUGCCUUUUUGCAUGUACUUUAUGAAUAAGGAUCGGCUAAAUCCGUGCCAGCAGCCGCGGUAAUACGGAGGAUCCGAGCGUUAUCCGGAUUUAUUGGGUUUAAAGGGAGCGUAGAUGGGUUGUUAAGUCAGUUGUGAAAGUUUGCGGCUCAACCGUAAAAUUGCAAUUGAUACUGGCAGUCUUGAGUACAGUUGAGGUAGGCGGAAUUCGUGGUGUAGCGGGGAAAUGCUUAGAUAUCACGAAGAACCCCGAUUGCGAAGGCAGCUUACUAAACUGUGACUGACAUUGAUGCUCGAAAGUGUGGGUAUCAAACAGGAUUAGAUACCCGUGUAGUC
rnacentral:rRNA from 1 species